rnacentral:lncRNA from 1 species
ACGACGAACCGACGAAUAGGUCACCAGAGUAUAUCAAUAGAAUCCCGAAUUACCGUCGGCCACUAGCCGACAAUCCAACCCCUCAGAGUACACCGACCUCAUAGGUCAUCAAACGACAGGACUCACGAAGCUGACUGACUAGGUCACAAAUAUGCCAAAUAGUGAAACUGUGUAAACUAUAAUCAUCCGUCGGUGCUAACCGACAAUCCCACCCCUUAGGGUAUACCGACCUCAAGGGUCAU